rnacentral:misc_RNA from 1 species
GGAAACAAAAAAACGUCAUGCAGCAGUGCAUUCGCUUGCUAUGUAAACGCAUAUACCAUCUCAAUCUGCAUUUUCCUCAACAAAUGAACUUUGCAGUAACUAUAUUUAUCUGACAUCCCAUGAUCAUCUUGUAUUUCCACAUAUUUUAUCUUAGCAUACUCAUUUAUGUGGUAAAUUUUAGAAUAUUUUUUGUAUGCUUCUUUACUCAUAAAAAUGUGAUCCUUUUAUGAAAUCAGAAGAAUAAACCUCCCAUAAUUAUGACAAGUAGAGAAUAAUCUCCCCAUUUAUGUUACAGUUACAGAAUUAACCCCAACCUAUAGCCUAACUUCAAGAUUAAUCACAUCCAAAAAUUAUCAUAAUUAAAACUCCAAUCUCUCAAAACCCUUAAAAUCUAAGAAGUUUGUUAGUUUUCACAUUAUAAAUGGCACUUAGAAUCUUCAACACGUAUAUCAUAAAACUUGGCCCCGUUUAAAGUAAUGUGGAUGCGUUUCACAGCAAACUUCAAAAGAGAAUGUCAAGGUAACCAUCUGGAUUCUGUUCUUCAAGAUUUUUUUUUUUCACUACCCCUUUU